AGUUCACGCAUUACAAUUAUAUCCCACACCCUGAACACUAGCAAGUGGCCUUUGUGAUGACUCAGAGGUUGACUUUUUGAAGGAAUUUGCAUCAAUUUUCGAGGGACAGGACAACACGUGUGUUUAUUCAGUGGAGAGAGGCUCAUGAUGCUGAAUGCUGUCAUCAAAGGAUUUGUAGCUUUUGUGGUGGAGCAGGACCUGCAAGGAAAGAUGAUGGCAGCAUUUGUUGGGGGAAAAAAGGUUUUAGGGAUUUUACUCAAAUAUAAAGAUCUGAAAUGUCUGC